CCUACGGGUGGCAGCAGUGGGGAAUAUUGGGCAAUGGGCGCAAGCCUGACCCAGCAACGCCGCGUGAAGGAAGAAGGCUUUCGGGUUGUAAACUUCUUUUCUCAGGGACGAAGCAAGUGACGGUACCUGAGGAAUAAGCCACGGCUAACUACGUGCCAGCAGCCGCGGUAAUACGUAGGUGGCAAGCGUUAUCCGGAUUUACUGGGUGUAAAGGGCGUGUAGGCGGGACUGCAAGUCAGAUGUGAAAACCCAGGGCUCAACCUGUGGCCUGCAUUUGAAACUGUAGUUCUUGAGUACUGGGAGGGCUGACGGAAUUCCUGGUGUAGCGGUGAAAUGCGUAGAUAUUAGGAGGAACGCCAGUGGCGAAGGCGGUCGGCUGGAGAGCAACUGACGCUGAGGCGCGAAAGCGUGGGGAGCAAACAGGAUUAGAUACCCCAGUAGUC
rnacentral:rRNA from 1 species